rnacentral:lncRNA from 1 species
UUCAUAUAAAUCUUUAAAACAUAGAAACAUAUAAAAAAAUGACUUUAAAAUUAAAAACAAAAAAAUGUGUACAAAUUUUAUUGAAUUUAUAAAAAAAUAUAAAAUAAUACACGAUAAAUUUAAAAUAAGCACGUUAAUGAUGAAUUUAAAUUAAUAUAAAGCUUAAACAUUAAAACCCUAAAGAGUAAUAAAAUAAUAAUUAAAAAACAAAUUAAAUUAAAUAUUGGACCAUAUUGAAAACAGAACAAAUUUUGGAGGAAAAAACGUAAUGGAUUCUAAAAAACGAAUAGGGACUAGAUUGAGUACACGCUAAAGAGGGGAGGACCAAAUGGAAAAAUAAACCAUCCUCUGGAAUGUGUCUUCUUCGCAGCAUACCAGGAAUUAAAUUGUAAUGCGCAAAAAAUUAAGCAGGCUAAUUUUAAAUAAAUAAAAUAAUGAAAAUAGGACUGAAUUGAAACAUUCAAAAAAUGUGGAAGGACCGCCCGCGAAAAUAACCCACUAACAAAAAAUGCGGAUCCUCCCCUCGGGUCGGGUCACCGUGCGGGUCACUCCUUAUACAGCGUGUAACACUCCUUAACCCCGAACCGUCGUCGGAAUAGGGUUACGAGGCAUUACCGGAAGUAUCAAACAGUUUACAACAAAUCUGCCCAAUCGCGCAGCAGUUACUAAAUUACUUAUAAUUUUAGAUACGGAACUCGAAAUUUAAUUCCAUAAAUUUUCCCUGAAACUAGACUCGUAUAUCUUCCUACCAUAAAAAUUUCAUAAUUUUUGGUCCAGCCAAUUAGUACAGUUUAUUAGUUAAAGUAAGCUCUAUUUCACCAAUUGACUGCCCUGACCUCUUGUCACUAAAAAUAAAAUUUCUCAUUGUAGGAUUGUCAUAUGAAGUUAUUACUUGUUUCUACAGAAAAUAGACUCAAUAAGUAUUCUAUACAUAUAAACUACAACUCAUAAUUAUUUUUGUACCAUUUUUAGUGAUUUUCUAAACUUAGAACAGGGGACUCCAAAAACAGUUCUGACCCUGUCUCACUAAAAUUCACAUAUCUUAAAAUAUAAAAUUCUUUUUGCUAAACCGUUAUUUUUAUAUGAAAAUAGACUUAACAAGAUUUAAUUUAAUAUAUCAUUCACCCUCUAAUUCAUUUUAUACUAUCUUAGGUGAUUUUUCAAAGUUACGUCACUGUUGCUGCCUGAAUUCUGUUUCUUUGCAAAGUUUACCCUUUCUUGAUUUUCAUACUUAACCAUUUUAAAAGCCAAACAUUAUCACAUACUCACACAUCUUUCUUUAGCAAUCUCAUAGAUACAACAUUCAAAAUGACUAAUCCCUAUACAUCACUUAGGUUUAUACAUUACCUAGGUACAUGCCACAUUAUCAACAGAAAGGUACAUCACUAAAAUGUCUCUGAGGUCGGGAUUACUUUGGAUGCUGGAUCGAACACUGGUUUUUUUACUAACCUGCGCACGGAAACAACCGUACGCAGAGUAUGGGUAUACUCAGUGGUAUUACCAUAAUUCAAAUUAAUAACAUUAAUCGAUAAAUUAUAUAUAUUNNNNNNNNNNNNNNNNNNNNNNNNNNNNNNNNNNNNNNNNNNNNNNNNNNNNNNNNNNNNNNNNNNNNNNNNNNNNNNNNNNNNNNNNNNNNNNNNNNNNUAAAUCAACUUGAUAAUAAUUAUACAUAAGCAAUAAUUCAAAUCUUAUAUUUAAUGUAUUCAUACCUUAUUUCACUAUCUCAAUUCCGUGGGAUUUUUUUCUUAUAGUUCAUUUCAAUUCAUAUACAAUUCAUCUCAUUUAAUUUAUAUUCAAUAUCAAUUUUAUUGCAAUUUUUACUCACUAAUAUCAUAUAACAAAAUUUACUCUUUAUCAUAUUAUGAACUUUGGGUUCAUAUAUUUAAAUCUCAUAUCUCGAUUUCCAAUUCACAUAUCAAUUCACAAUUUCACUUUCUCAUUUCUUUCCAUAUCCCAAUCAGUCACACUUAUUCAAAUUUUCUCAUUUCAAUUAUUUACCCCUAUUAACAAGACUCGGACCUUGGCGGAUACACGGAUCCAACCAAACACACCAGAAUGGCACCCAGUGCCUCAUCGGAUAGUUCGAAGCAAUAGUUGACACCCAGUGUCUCAUCGGCAAAGCCGAAGUAAGUUGGUACCCAGUACCUCAUCGAAUCUAUCCGAAGUAACAGUAUGACACCCAGUGUCUCAUCGACUCAAGGUCGAAGUAUCCCUGAACACUUCCAAUCCUAUGGCAUGCCAACUAUAUCCGACUCAGCCCGACUAGUUAAUAGGGUUUCCGAAUCACAUUUCAAUUCAAUCACUUUCUCAUACUUUCAAUUCAAAUCAUUCCAAUUUAAUCACCAUUUGAUUCAAUACAUUUUUCUAUUGCAAAUUCACUUCCCACUUUCAAAUCAAUGUACAGUUCAGUACCAAUACAUAUUUCACAAAUCAUACUUCGAUUCGAAUCAAACCACUUUUCAGUCAAUACUCAAUUCACGUAUUCACACUUAUUCAUAAUUUAAUUCACUUUUAUUCAAUUCAUAUUUUUAAUUCAUUCAAUUAAAUAUCGAUAUUCUCCUUAUUUUUAUUUACUAAACAUAUUAUUCAAAAUUCAACAAUUACUAUCAAUAAAUUCAAUAUCAAUACGUAUAUAUAUAUAUAUAUAUAUAUAUAUAUAUAUAUAUAUUUCAUUCGAUUCAAUCAUGAUACUCACCUCAAUUUUCUUAUCAU